rnacentral:lncRNA from 1 species
UUAGAAAGACCCACCAUGAGAACCAUUGUGGAGCAUCUCAAAAUCAUUCAAGACAUGAAGUAUUCCUGCCGGUUUCCUCUGCAAGAGCCGGCAGCAGUUGCUGGAAAACAGAUGUCAAGAUCGCCUAGUCUCAAUGGGAUCAUUACCCCAGCGCCCAGGCUAAGUUUCUCCCCUUCUCCGCCAUCAAGAACCCACCUCUCCGUUUCUCCAACAAGACCGCCUGUAGUACCCGUGUCUCUUCCUCCCCGAGCCUGUUCCUCCACUCUCUCUUUGGAGGACCUUGAACGGCAGGAAAGCAGGAAAUCUUCAUCAUCAACAUCCACCUUUCGGAGGCCCAGUGUUGAAGGUUUUUGAUUGUCAAUAGUAUGCAAUUUUUUCAUUUUCAUUUUUUUUUUUGUUUUUUUCUUUCCCCUUUUGUGAUUCAACACAAUAUAUAGAAGAUAAAAAAAAUGUGGUUCUUCCACCUUUCCAUCCCUCAAGAAGAUGCAACAGAGGAGGAUGCUAUUUUGUAGAUAAAAAAGAAAAAAAAAGAAAAAAAAAGAAAAAAAAAAGUGUGAGCCUCUCUUCUUAUUGGGUUCAGUUAGUUUCCUCCUCUCCACAAUUUGAUUUUGCUUUUUCUCCUUCCCUCUGGCAAAUGUUGUUGUGAUGUCUUCAUUGAAAUGAAAAACUGAUUUGUUUGCAAUUUGGGUAGAAAAUAUUGGAAAGGUUCAGAGAAUCUGAAAUUGGUCAAAAUUUGGCUACUUGAACAAAUCAAAUUUCGGCUUGACAAUGACACCUCAUUAAUAAUAUACCAAUCCAAACUCUCUUCAUUUCUUCCAGAAAGGAAAGCUGGAGUUGCCUUUCCCAUCUAUUUUCCUCUAAAUUGAAAAGUCUUUAGAGAUAAUGUAUUGAAUGGCUCUUGAAAAAUAAUUACUAGUUGAUAUUUUCAACCAUUCUUCAAAAUUUGUCAGCAUUUAGAAAAGAUUGCACAUUAAUUUAGUUUGAAUUCAACAAAAUUUUCCUCCUUCCGCUUUCUUGGAUAUCUGGGUUUAUUCUUUAGAAUCUUUGCCAUCUUUUUCCACAAGAAAUCUUUUAAUUAAUUAAUUAAAAUCAGUCUUCCUCUGUAUUUCCGGGUCUUGAAACUAAGACCAGAUCAAGGGCAUUUCUUUUUCCUCCCCUUGACAUUAAUGUAAUUAAUUUAAAAUAUAGUGAUGCAUGUGAUAGCAUGUUAAAAAGGAUAAAAUAUUUUUUUUUCUAAAAUUAAAAAUAAUAUAAUGAAUUAAUUUACUUAUUUUUUUAGUUAAAAUGAUAUUAAAUCAGUGAGAGGUAAAUUAAUAAAUAAUAUUUUGUAUUUUUUUAUUUUUUUAUGUAAAUAUUAACAAACAUUUAUAAAAUUAUUGUAAAAAAGAUGUCUGAUUAAGUUUAAAUCUCAUAAUAUUGAAAUAAAAAUAUUUAAAAGAAUAAUAUUAAUAUUUUUUAAAGUUUUAAUUAAAUACAUCUUAUCACCAAUCUUUAAUUUGGAGUGUCCCAACUCCCAAGUGGUGAAAUCGAGAGAGAGAGAGUAUUUUUUAAGGUUUUAAUUAAAUACACCUGAUAAAUCCUUAACUUGGAGUGUCCCAACUCACAAGUGGUGAAAGUUGAUAGUCUGACAGUCCCAAGUGGUGAAAGUCGAUUACCCCAAAACAUGAUUGGCGUGCGUAGACGGUAGACGCUACACGUUACAGUCUGAGGGGAGUAGAAUCCAAUGUGGAUCCACAAGAAUGACUUUGUAGGGUUCAGUACUUGUGGGUGGCUGACAUCAAAGCAGUACUGUAGGUUUUGAACAUUGAGCCAAUUACCCAGGUAAAUAGUAAAUUAAAAACACCUUGUCAGAGUUGUAGUUGAAAAUGGAUGACUCGAAGGUUCAAUUAUGAUAUUUUCCAUUUUUAAAAUUAUUAACUCAAAUAAUCAAAUUCUAUCACAUCAUAAAGCAUUCAAAUUCAAAUUUUAUAGAUGGUCGAUCACAAAAGUCAAUGUAGUUUGAAAUUUUGUGUAUAAUUGAUGAUUAUUUAGUUACAAUACAUUUUUUUAGUUCAUAUUUAUUUUAAGACAAUUUUGAUGUAAGUAAGCAUAUUUGUUACGAUAAAACCCUUAAGGAUGUUGUCUUAGGGAUGUAAAAAAGGUGUAUCAUUUUCUUAUGGUUAGUAGAUUAUUUGAUGAUCAAGAGAUCAAGUAAUUUUUCCAUGUUGUUUAAUAUAAUUGGAUCAUUUACUUUUGCAUAGGUUCUUUUGUGCAAUUGGAAUAUUUAAUUUUACACAAGAUUAUAAUGCUCUCGCUAUAAAAUUAAUCCAAAGGGAUAAAACCAGAAAUUAGAAAUGAAGUAUUAGUUUAAAUCACCCCUCCCUUUAGGUAGUUUUAUCCUAUUAAUUCUUUCAAUCUCAAAGUAGCUUCAAAUUCACCAUAAAAUCAUAUCACAUAGCAACAGAAGACCUUUUUUGAGCAUAUGACCCCAUCACUUCUGUCGAAAAGGAUCCUGUAAGGGACCUUUGAACUAAACCAAGGCAGGGUGCUAUUUUCUAGGAUAAGUCAAGCUGAUAGGGGAAAUGGAUACUUCAAAUGGAGCAUAGAAAGAAAGAGGCAAUAAACGGAUACUGAAUUAGAAAAGAGAAUAAACUGUUGACCUAAACAUUAUGAAAAGCAAAUCCAAUUUCUUUGUUACAAAUGAUGAUUUCUGGCAUGUUAAGAGUCUAAAAUCCAUGCAUACAUCCUCUUUUAAGAAGAAAUAAUUUUCUAUGACGCAUAUUAUAUGACAAAUAAAAACCUCAAGCACCCUCUCCAACCAUUGGUACAAGCAAUACCAGGCCACAAGAGAAAAACGGAGAGAUAAGUAUGUAAUUUAUAGAGAAAGGAGUUGUUCUUACCAGGAGAGUGAAAAAGGUGGAAAGGGAAGAGGAGCUCACGAAUUAAGCAUCAUUUUUGCUUUGAUCUUGUCCAGAGUGCUCCUCAUCUCCCCCAUUCUCUCGCUCUGAAACUGCAGGAGCAGUAAUACAAUGAUCCUCAUUUAGUGGUCCUUCACUCUCUCCAGUAGCUUGUGGUGGUGGCACAUGUGAUCCUGAGCUGCCUUGUUGCUCGGCCAAGCUUUUGAGACCAUUCUGCUUCAGAUAUGUUUCCAAAGGAAGACUUGCCACUUGUAGAAGACUCAUCAUGCUCACUCGGUUUGAUCCCACUUGCAAGUCCUCCUCACGGUCAGGAUGGCAAUUCAAGUCUAUUUUUCCCUUGCCAGUUUCACUCAACUUGGUGGACAGAUUGUUGCUUUGGCUCCUAGAUUCUGACUCGUUUGCCAACCCAGCUUCACUCUCCGAAGGGUCAGGAUUUGGAGUGGCAAGUCUUGAGGUGCUGUCCACUUCUGCUUCAUCCUUAGCGCCCCAGAUAUUGUGAUUUAUCUGGGCAAUCUCUGCUUCACGCUCUGAUUGGCGCUUUUUUUUCCGCAUCAUUAGUGUUUUAAAACGACGUUUAACUGUCAUACAUACAUUGCAUGUGCAGGUGGGCUUGUGCUUGCCCUUCCCACUGGGGGGCUGGAUACACACAAUGCAUGAGCAGCCUGGGCGAUGCCUCGGGUGUUUGGUUGUGGUUGCAACUGAUGUAGCGGCUGGGUCGCUCAUGUCAUCUCCAAGGGCUGCAGCAUUGGCCAGAGCAUCUAGGCCGGAAGGUUCAUGCUCCUGUGCAGGCCUAUGAACUGCUGCAAUUCGACGUUUUCUGAAAUCUAUUAACCAGGAACAGAAGAAGUGUCACAAAUAUUUUUGGAUUCAAAGUAGACAAUACUCCACAGAGAGAGAAACGGACAUCAUUUCAUAAUAUGAAACACGUGUACACAUGCAUACACAAUGACUUCCCUAUUCCAACCCUGACACUAGUUGCCCAGACGUGUGCUUUCAUUCCAAAAUCAUGGUUUUAAAUUUUCAAAGAUUGAAAUUUAUUCAGUAAGUCCAAGUUUAAAACUCCAACCCCAAUGGGGAAAUACAUUAAUAAAAGAACAGUAGUGUGCAAACGUGACCCUUGGAAGGGUGUAUGUAUUAGUAGGCUUUUCAAGGAGACUACAAACCCCACUGUAUGGCAGCUUCAAGACAAAACCUGAUUGGGACAAACAUCUCCCCCGUUGGGUGUUCAAUGUAUCUGAUGUAAUGUCAUGCACCCAUUAAUAAAGGUGCUAUUAUUCAUUAAAAUUUUAACUACCAGUUGCAACUCUUCAAGACCAUACUGGGUUCUGUGGCCAAUAGCAUUAUAUCAGUAAUGUCUCCACAAUCCUCCCUGGCCACCCCCACCGACAAAUUUAUGAAAUACCCUCAUGCAAAAUACAAAUAUUAUAUAUAAAAGGAAACCAUUUCUCAAAGAAUGUUUCAGGCUGCAGCAAUUAUUUAUUUAGAUAAAAUACAAGUACAGAUGCUGGCAUCAUACCCUUAUAUUGUCUGAGAAUAUGUUCGAGUUCCCUAGGGCUCAACUCAUCUGGGGCAGAACAUGAACACCUGGAUUACAAUAACAGAAGGUCAAGGAUUUAAAGUUUCUCUAGUGGAAAAACACUUGCAUGGAAACACUUAUAACUGACCUGCUUUGAUCCCACAAAUUUUCAGCACACGUCCACUGACAUGGAACAAGAUAAUCAUGGGGCACCUUUCGCCAUUUAGAGCAACUAUCACACUGAACCCAUUGCUCCUCUCCCCUGGAUGAUCAAGCUUAGCAAAUUAGAUGGAUUCACCUAACAGAAGUCUCAAGACAGAAAUCUAGGUAUCAAAAUAGCAGACACAGAAUUUCUCAGGAUAAAAAGUGACUCCUCUUCCAUGUGAGGUACACGUGGCACCAUAAUAAAUGGGCACUAAUUGGUGCCAAAUUGUGUCUUGAUCCAGGGUUCAGACAACUGGAUAAAUUUUUUACUUAAGAACCUGGUAUUAUGUAUCAGUAGAUCCCUAUCACUGGAUGAAUGCUGCAUAAAAACAUAAGAUCAUGACAAGUUUGACACAUUUUACUUAGGAAAACAAAUUUUUGGAACUGCAUCAUUAGAAUUGGAGAUCCUUGGCAUCCAAGGAGGAAGGAGAACUUGGUGGUAGGGAUGGAGGUAGUAUUGCUGAAGGACCUUGGAAGAGUUCAUUUUCGGAGGCAGAAGUAAAACUUGUACAAAUUAAUCAAGACACUCUUUCUCCUAGAUGGGAAGUUAAAUCUAGUGAUCUCACAAGUACUGAUUUCAUAUUUUUUCUUCUUUUGAUUUCUUAGGCUUGGGGCCACCCAGUAAUUGUCACUAGACAAAACAUGGGAAAUGGAAGCAGAAAGGGCAAUUCAAAAAGAAAGAAAACAUGACAUUAGGAAAAUAAAGCAUUAAAGAAGUUUGUAAAUGAAAAAUAAAGGUGCUGAGAGUAGGUAACACUCAUGAAACCUAUUUUCCAGAUGUUUUAGCAACAUUUCCCAUGGGAAACAAAGGUUGAACAUUUUCAAAGAUGGAAAGCACUUAUGAGAAAUAAGUUACCUUAAAAUUUUUUAAACAAGUUUCCCACCAGCUUUAGAAAUGGGUUUCUGGGAAACUGAGUAGAGUUUCCAUCAUGGGGAAAGUAUUUGUAAUUAUGAUCCAGAUAGCUUCACUUUGCAUGUGGGGUUCAGUCAUUGGUGUUCAAAAAUGCUACUUCACAUGCAAAAAUGUAUUAGAAUAAGUUACCAGAAAUCCUUACCCAGAUGGGAGGGUUGUGAAAAUACUCCUCUUUCCAAAAACAGGGGGUUCCUGUAUGACAAAUAAAUAACAUGAUAAGUAAUUAUUAGUAACCUAUAUAUAUAUGUAUGUAUGAAAAAGAAACAGCAAUCACAUAGCUUGUAUGAACAAACAAGGUAGUAUUUAUGUUUAAGACUGAAACAAGGAGCCUCAGCAAAUAAUUUGUACUUUUUUCUUUUUAUUUUUGGCAAACUGCCGUUGUCAAAAUAAAGUCUGUAAGUGGCAUUUGGAUGCUUUACGAGUGUGAGCUAGCAGCAAGACAAUUUAUAAAAGCUAAUUGCAUUACUAUUUUGAGAAUUGUGGAAAGUUUGCUUACAGUGUAUGCCUCAAAUUCGUAGUCCUCAAUCACGUCAAUGACUGGCUUGACACUUGGGGGUGGGCGGAGCAAAGACUGUGCCUCUUCCCAUGUAAGCCUCAGCUCCAGAGCAUCUUGGCCAUCGAUUAGCAAUCUCUUACUUUUAGACCCAAUUGUUCGAGUUCUCUUCUUCUCUGGUACCAGCAUUGAUGGAAGCAGCAAGCCCUCUCUUGUCUUGCCUCCAUGCUUCUCUGUUUUAUGCCAGCCAAUAUCCCCACUAGCUGAAUUCAAAUGUUUUGACAAUGCAUUUAGAUGGGGAUCUGUGCUUCCCUUCAGCGACUGAAGAAUGCCAGAGUAACCACUUAUUAUAGGUUGGUUCUCAAUAACACCCGAAAAGAAAGUUUCACUUGAAUGAGCGCCAUUAGGAAUGGCAGAUAGUUGGGUGUCCUGUUUAGUUAAUAAUUUAUAUAUUAAUAUUAUAUGAUCCAGGUUUGCUAACAUGAAAACUCACUUUGUUUUCCAAGUGUGUGGAUGCAAAUAUAAGAGUUAGUUACAUCAAUGAAGUUGACUACCUGCAUGGAAACGGAGUUAGAUGCUUUCCGGAACCCCAUAACAAGUUUUCCUUCUGGAUCCAUACGGCUGAAUGUUACUGCAGCAAAAAUAUUAAAUGGAUAAAAAUGGAAUACCAAAUGUAUCUUAGCUUCUGGAAAAGAAAAAAGGAAACAGAAAAGGAAGAAAGAAAAACGAAGGGGGAAAAAGGAAAAACCACACCAUAUAUAGGAAGUGACAAAGACAGAAGAUCAUCAGGCAUAAGACAGUCAUUGAUAAUGUUAGAGCAAGUAAUUUGAUAACAUUCUCUAAAAAAUUAUCAAAUAGAAAUUUCUGUCAGAGAAUGGAAUGACAGGAUGUGACAGCAUAAUCAUUAUUGUGAGAAUCCUAAUUAAAGUCUCAUAGUUAGGACCCAAAACACAACAAAACAAAAAAAUUAAUAAGGUCUUGUUUGAAAUGGUUUCUUCAAAGCUAAAAGCUCUUUUUUAAGCUCAAUAGAGCUUCUCUAGAUGUGUUUGGAUAAUUUUAAUAAAACUUCAAAAAGCUAAUUGCCUUAAAAGAAAAAAUGAAAAAAAAAGUUCAACAGGAAAGUUAGGACAAUAUUGUUUACUGUGGAAGCCCUCUUUUUGGCUUAUUGCAGGAAAUUGUUUCAUGUUUAAUGAAACUUUUGUAGUACCAAGAUUGUCCCUCUAAAAUUAUAGACUUAGCUUCAACUUCUACCAAAAGCCAAAACGAUAUCCCAAACAAGGCCUAAGAGAAGAGUAAAGAUUAAUACAAACUAAAAUAUGCUUAGAAAUUUAGUGCCUCUGGCAUUCUUCAAGUAGAGAAAAUAGCUGAGACAUGUUUAUAUCAUGACAGUUGAAAAUUUUUCCUCUUGUAUAGCAAUACAAAUCAAAAGAAUGACGAAUGACUUCACAACCAUUAGUUUUUGUUGAUUAUUAAAUAUGCUAAAAUUGUUGUGGCAUGCCUACAUAAAAUACGAAGCAGGCAAUAGAAGUUACCAGUAUCUCCAGCUUGUAACUGCAUUGACUGUAUGCAUGGGGUCACACCCUCUAAAACAUACAUCCUGCUGUUAUUAUUGGGCCAAAACCUGAAUUGGAACACCCAUUCUUUCCCCUUCACAUCCUGAAUCCUUAAAGGAAGGCCCUCUGGUUGAGAGAUAGGAGGAAAAUAUGCCUGCAAAAUGGUUUAGUUUCAAUUGAUAUACAGAUAAGGUUCAACAAAAAUAAGCUUAACAGUUAAAUUUGGGAAGAACGAAAAAAAAUGAAAAAUGCAAAAGACAACCAAUAAAUAUUAUUUUGUCAAAUGAAAGCCAGACUAAGCACACAAUGGAAAGCUUACUUCAGCACAUGCUUUUGGGAGCACUAAACGACCAAUACGACCAGCAUCACUGGCACUUAGCAUCUUUUCAAAUAAUGGUACGAUGGUGGAAUUUGAGCUUCAAGAAAGCAUGAUUAAAGAAAUCGCUGAUCGAGUUGGUGAAUAAGCAUGAAAAUUAAAAAAAAAUUAACAGCGAAGCAAUCUAUGAACUUCAAAAUAAAAAUGACAUAGUCAAGGAUACUCUCCAGAUAUUUGCUGCAAUUCCUGGUCUGUGAUCCUCGGCCAAUAACGAGGAAGCAACUGAUUCCGACCCCGUCCCUCUGCAGGUGGCCUUGCAACACGUAUUUGUGGAACUAUACCUGUAUUUGUUUCCAAAACAGGAGAAAGUGCUGACCUUGGGGGCUUGGGCAAAAGAUGGCGAGACCUAGGCCCCUGUUGGAUGGGAGUGGAUGUUUUGUGUUGUUCCCUUUCUUCAACGACUGCACUAGGAAACACAUUUGGAUUUCCUGAAGGAGCACCCAAGGUGAUACUCAAAUUUGUCUGAACCAGAGACUCAUGUAUAUCUUUGACCAUCAUGUUUGCUUUACAAAUAUCUAGUUUGGCAUGUAUGGAAGAUCCGAUGGAUGCUUGAUUUAAAUUUGACAAACAUGUACUACCAGUUUCUCCCUGAGGUGGCAAAACUUCCUCCUGUUUCAUUUGGCCAAGAGACCCAUUUAUGUUGUCAUUUCCAGAUUGAAGAAAGUUUUUCAGUCCAUCACCCGAUGUAUCAUUCCCCAACUGUGUAAGCUUCAUCUUCUCAACACUACCACCAUCUAAUUGAUUGUCCACAGAAGUGCAACGAAUUUCACCCACAUUAUCCACUGUCAUUGCACCACUUUCAUUAGCCUUUUCAUCACCUGUCAUCUGUAUGACAAUUUAGAAGUAUCAUAAAUCCCUGAAGGUUGAAAGGAAGUGAUUAAAUUGUAAUAUUCAAUCACUUUCAAGUGAUUAAAAAAAUCUGAUGUAUGCUGCAAAGAACAAACUGAAAUGCACACCUUAUCAAAUACCAUCAUAAACAUCAGAUAAGAAAGUUGUCUGAAAUUAGAGGUAAAUUCUUACUCUUUUCUUACUAAUCCUUUUGUCACCUUCAUUAAUUGAAAGAUACAUAAAUCUACAACACCAGAUCAUCUUAAACCAUAAUUGGAAAUUGGAACUUGUUAAUAAACCAUUUGUUAUUUGUUUCAUUAAUUGGGAAGUGUUUAUAUAGUUGAACGAAACAGAUGAUAAAGAAUCAUACAAACUAAUCAACGAAUUGAUUUUGGCAGUUUGUAACUGAUAUGAUAGUAGGAUGGAACUACAGAAUUAUUAAAUGCAUCCAACCAAAAAUUAUAAAGGAGUAUGUUUGUGUAACUUUUCCAAAAGAAGUCAUAGACAUGUAAAUGAGUUGAUCUUACAGGGUGAGGUCCUGAACUUCUUAUGCAGUUAAUACAAUUUACGCCACCACUAUCAAGUAGCUCAAGCAGAGACCUGGAAGCAAUGCAUCCACAAUGGAGACGCUGGAAACACCAAUUGAAUCAUACUUUUCAACAAUAGCAUGAGUUGAAGAAAAAAAGUGAUGUGAGUUGGGAAGAAGGAACAAGAUACGAGUUACUGGACUACCAACUGACCUUGCCACAUGCAGUACAUUUCCUCCAACCAGAGUCCUUUGAGUGAAACAUGUCACAGAAAACUAGUUGCUCAAAAGCAGACCUGGAGAGAAUUCAGUUGCAAAUAGAAAGUAUCAUCUAAUAAGUCAUAUGGAGAAACCUAAUGUUUUCUUUUCCCAAUAAAUAUAGAUAAAAAAUUGCAGCUCAUCAUGUAAAAUUGUCAUAAAAUGGUGACUAUUAAGUCCCAGCAGUCAGGUUCCAGUCACAUACCUAGUUUCUCAAAAACAAUAAAUGCCAAAUAUUAUUAUUCAUAGGGCAAAAAGAUAAUUGUAAAUAAAAUUGUGUAGUAUUUCUAAAAAACAAGGGAAAGAAAACCAACCAUUAAAGGUCAAGUUCAAGCCAUAAAUUGCUAUGCACUCUAGGCAUCUCCAUGUUUCCACCUUCUAAGGUUCUCAGCAUUUAGAUAGUCGUAUCUAGGCCAAACAAGCUGGUGGAUCAAAAGUUCCUAGUCAUUUAGAAGAAAUUGUUGUCUUCAUGGGUGUCAGCCCAUCAUCAUUAGUGAGGUUUCACCGUUUAACCAGAAAUUGUUAAAUCAUCCAAAUCCAGACAUAAUUAGGAUGAUCCAGUACCAAAAUUUUUUCAGCCUCUUACAAAUCUCAAUGCAUCUUUAAAACAUAUUUAGGAUGUAGGAUGGACCAGAAACAAAUUGCAUGUGGAUACUCAAACCAAAUGAUAAAAUAUCCUUAUUUUUAUUUGCAUGUAAUAUGGAACACAUAAUAUGAUAAAAUUAAAUUUAAAAAUUUUACAUAGGGAGAAAUUAGAUUCAAAAUUUUGCUUCAUCACUGUAUGAGGGUAAAUUGUUCUGUCAUUCACAGAUUGCAAUGACUUGAUUAGUUUACUUACGGACAAGACAAAGAUGAUGAGAUGUGAAAGGCAAUGCAGAUAGCAAGUCAAAUCACAUGCCCUUAAUUUCUUACAAAUAGAAUCCUGCCAAUAGUCAUUUAAAAGCAAACAAUAGGAAGACAAAUAUUUAUUCAACCAAAUAUGGCAUGUAUUUCAAAAAGAAUAAUAAGCUCUUAAAUAAUUUGUAUUUAAUUUUAUCGGGAUAGAUUAAACUAAGGUAACUUAUCAAAUAUAUUUAUCCCCACAAAAGAUACAUCAAGGGAUAAUCAUUAAUGAAGAUGUUUAUCAAGAAACUCUAUUAUCAACCUCUAUUGAUAGCCUAAGCUCAAAAGUGUCAUCAGCACAACUUGGAAGAGAGAUAAUUGAAGCUUCAUCCCUGAAGAACUUUCUUCAAUCCAAUGGACUAACAAUCCCAAAGCUCUACAAGAUUUUGUCACUCAAACCUAUGCUCAUCAUUUACGCCCACAAACUACAAGCCAAUGAGCAUAGUAAAGCUCUUUUAAAUUAUAGAUAUAAAGCUAUACAAACAUCAUUCCUUCAGCAUUUAAGAUCUCAAAGGCUACAUUCAUGGUGAAGCUUUAUUCUUCUCUUAUAUGCUGUAAGCCUCUGCAACUGUGUCAACACAUCCCAACCUUCUGCAGCUGAAUUCACUUUGUCUGGGAACCAGCUCUUCGAGUCUUUGACUGAAGCAACUUUGAGAAAAAGAAUCAGAGGAUAUUUUCUUUAUUGAAGAAUUUUCAGAGUUUGCAUUUCAAUUUUCUUAAACUAAUAAAUCUGAGAUGGUCAACACUUUUCUCAUUUUUUUUUCAGGUUUAAGAUUUGUGUUCACAAAUUUCUAGAAAACCCAGCUAAAUAAUCUCCACCUAAUUCCUAUUUUCAAGUGAAUAAGUUGUGAUCAUGUGACUAGCAACAACAGCAAAUGAAAUAUUAACAUGCACACUUAAUGUGACAUUAGGGUAAAGGACGUGCACCAAUUUUCUUUAAAAAUAGCUACUUUAAAAUUUGUCUUGGGCUUGUGAAUUUAAAAAACACCUGGACAAUUAUCCUUGGUGGAGGUGAAGAAUAGUACCAUUGUUGUGGCAAAGAAGCUAUUGGCUCACUUGCUAAAUCACAAAAUUCAAGUUUGGGUUCUACACUAAGUCAGCAUGGGACAUGGAUUACACCAAUUAUCAAGUCUACAAAUUAUAUUUUUCAUGCCACUCAUGGUGAUUGAAGCAACUUUAAGUGGUUUAAGGCUUUAAGCAAUGAAACAAAUUGGAAGAAUAGUCGAUGCUAUCAAAGAGCAUUCACAACAUAAUCAAGAGCAAGAUGCUCACAGAAAUAAAACUUCAACACAAGCUUGGUUGAUGAUAGCAUGUUGCUAAGAUCCUUCUUGAUUCACACCAUAAGAUACUUCAAAAACCUUCUUUAAAAGAAAAGGUAUUGCUACAAAUCAGCUAAAACAUUUUAUCCUAGAAAAUUUUGUUGCAAAUCAGCUGAAGGAUUUUACCUUGGAGAAAACUCCUAAAACAUGUGACAAUGAAUCUCAAUCCCCUCUCCCACAAACCAAAGUUUUAAAAGAUGCAAGGCACACUUAUGACAUAAAGGCAACCCAACACACAUGUCUAAGUGAAAAUCGGGUGCACUCCAAGUCUAUGUGUAAUUUUAUAUCAUGUAACAAAUAUUAACGCGCAAACAUUUAUAAUAUUUUCAUAUAUCAUUAAAUAGUACUAAAAAUUUCAAUUCAAGCAAUUAAAGACAUCAAAAUUUCACACAUUUUACAUAAAAUCCAACAAAAAUAAUGCUAAAAAAAUCAGUUAUCAUUUAUUUGUGUACUAUACAUAAAAUCACAAAAUAAAUAAAUAAAUAGAUAAAAAUAAUUCAAUUAGUACUAAAAAAAGCAAAUAAAUUUGUGAACUACAUAUAUAUACUGAGCGCCGCAUCAAUGGAUAAUCGUCCUUUAUUAAGAAAUAAUUAUCACUUAUAAGUAGAUAACUGACAAACAAAAACCAUAAAGCUAUUAUAGUUAAUGAUUCGCAAAAUGGCUAAUAAAUCAAAGAAAAUAAAAAUGCCUAAAAUAUUGGGAUCAUAGGAGUUGUGCGUGUUAUGGACAACCUACACAUACAUUUUUCCUUUUCUUCUUCUUCUUCUUCUUCUUCUCCUCUUUUACUCUUCUUCUUUUCAAUCUCUUUCUUGGAAUCAAGCCUUCAAAUCUUCUUUUUUCAAAUGGUAGGGUGAAAAGGUAUUGUUUUGUCUGUUGUUUUAAAAAUACUUAGGCUCAAAAUGACCUUUUUUUUUUCUUUUCUUACUAUGGUAGAAAAAAAAAAUAACUGCAAUUAGGUGCACUUUUUAUUGGCCUUGUGCCUUGCUCUAAGGGUGUGCCUUUUACACCUAAGUUGUGCCUUGUUGAAUGCACCUCUCCUUGUUCUAAACGAGAUGCUAGAGGAGCCAUGUCAUGUCACCUUACCACUGAGAGCAUCUUCGAAAACCAUGCCAUACACACCAAGAAGAGUUGAUAAGGACACCAAUCAGCUACCAAUCAUUAAAAUUUCAACAUUUUGAUAGGACAAGGAAAUCCAAGGCAACACAAGGGUCAAUUUAUGGGGACAUGCAACAAUCUCAAUCUUUUUCCGUUUUUUUUUUUUUUUAAGGCAAAUUUUUGUCCCCAUAAGGGACUUGAACCUGGAACUUGUGUUUAACUCUUCAUUCAUGUACAAGAUCCCUAAUAAUUCAUUGAAACUAGCUUCACUCACAUAACCAUCAUUUUACAUAUGAAGCGGUAAACCCUAUAGCAAAUCCUAAGAGAUCACCCAUUUUAUUUUUUAUUUUUUAUUUAUAAUGAGGAAUGCACCCUGCCAAUAAGGCAUUUAUCCCAACUGUUGAUAAAGCAAACCCUGGAUAACAUAGGUCCACUUCUUUAUCCUACACACUUAAAUUGAAGGAAAGCAUGAAGCAAACCUAGAUGAAAUGGGUCUAACUCCCCUACACCACUUAAAUACAAGGGAGGCUUAAACUAGAUUAAGAAAGAUCAGCCCAUUUUAGAUUUGUUCUCAUAGGUGAUAGAUUAUGAAGUAGUUAUUAAAUUUAAUUUAUUGCUUUUUAAAGUAAUAAUACAUGUAUGGCAUGCCCUAAAAUGAGACUACCUCAAAUAAAUUCCAAAUAAUGUGUGAAUAAAUUAUAAUAAUAUUACACAAAAACUAUCAGCAAAUAUUAAGAAAAAUAUCAUUGUCUUCAAGACCCUAGUUUUUGCGUUUUUCUUUUGUAGGUAAAUUAUAUACAAAUACAAAUAUAGUAGGAAAAUCAUUUAAUAAACAAGGUUGUAAUAGUAUAUAAAAUGUAUGCAAGGCGCACCAAGGCCAAAAGAAAAGAAAAUAUAAAAGGAAAUUGACCCACCUAAGACAACCCCAGAUUACCAAUUAAGUUCAAAAAGGAAAAAUUAGCAUCUUCCACUCAACAUUGGGCUGACUAAAAGAGACACUUAACAAAUCAGUUUAUUGCAACGAAGUCCAGAUGUUCUACUUUUUCAAAUAUUAUAUUUUUACAUAACUCAUAAUUAUUUUUUUUAAAUCUAGGUUUUGCAACCAAGUUCAACACGUUUUCCAACAACAUUAAGUUCCCAGUGAUGUUUCCAUACUAUUUAAGUUUUCAUAGUCCACAAUAAGCAUCUAAAACAUAAUUUAGUUCAAAUGGAAAUUUAACUUUAUUACAAAACAAAAUUCAAUUGAGAACAUUAACGUUUAGGUUUAUUCUAGGUGAAAGGCCUAGCCAUGCCCAUUGACAGCUAGGGUCAGGGGCCGAUUAGGCUCAAAAAGUAGUCUCAAGCCCAAUCAGAAACUGUAUGGGCCGAGCCUGAACUCAAGAUAAAUGCCUAUGAUCCAUUGGGCAAGCCUAAAUGAGUCCACAAUUGCCUUAACAACAAAAAUAUUGUCAUGACUGUUAGUGAUUGCCAGUCAUGGCUAAAUUUUAACUACCAUGGGCAACUACUGUUCAGAAAAGGCACUGUUAUCUUCAAUCUUAAUAUAAAUUAAGCAUAUGAUGACAUUAAAAAGGUCAUUUUAUCCUGAGCAUCAUACUGCAACUUUCUUUUCCAUUUCUCUCUUCGAAUCACUAACUUGACCAUUGGAGAAGGUGUUCUAUAACCAUCCCGAACAUUUUUUGUUUGCAUGUUGUUGGAUUCAGGCUGCUCACUCCAUUGAGGUUAAUCUACAUGAAAGUUGUUGAUGUUAGCUGAUUGUGGAAAUUGACAGCUUGACUGAUUGUGAUUGACUAAAAUAUAAAACUUAUACAAGCUGUAAAUUAAGGUUAUAAAUCAGUGAUAAAAUUAGGAUUAUAAAUUAAGGAUUCCUAGCUUGUUUGUAUAGUUGACUAAUAGUGACUACAUUCAAUGUAUUCUUGGAUUAUUUUCCUUUAUUGUUUUACCUGUAACCUUAUAUAUAUUAAUUGUAAAUUCCUCCAUUAAUACAAGAAUGCAAUUCCAUGAUUGUUUACAUGGUAUCCAGCAAAGUACUAUUAAAAUUGCUUCUCGUUUCUUUGGCCUAUAUUGGUGAAGCCAAGUGCAUUCUUCUUUGCUACAGCUUUAACAUUUCGUGGCCUUCAUUGCUGAAAUCGACAUAGAGAAAUACAAUCUUCAUUGUUGGUUCUCCCACAUUCUCUCUGCUUUUAUUCUCUUUCUCAAUAUGUCUGAAAUAUCUAGUAAUGUCCAAAUCUCUUCCUCCAUAAAAAAUUUCGAUCAAGUUGUAAUCCACUCUUCCUCUAGUGAAUACCAAAAUCUCCAAGCGUCAUUUAGGCUUAAUAGCCGGAGUUAUCUGGUUUGGUCUCCACAUGUGAAGGCAUCCCUUGAACGAAAGGGGAACCAAACAAUUUAGUUAGAUCGGUACCAAGCUCAAAAGACCCACAGUUUGUACCGACAAAACCCACCCCAUUGCCAUCCCUCUCUAUGGUGAUCUAUUGAUUUAUCAUCUAUUGUUAGAUAUAAAGAGUAGAUCAUUAAUUUUGCAAACUUAUCUAUUAAUCUAUUUAUUGAACAUAAGAAUAAGGAUGCAACAUAAAAUGGUUCCUUGUGGUGCAGGAAUAAAUAAUCCCAAAAUGUUGAAAGUGUUGCCAAAAUUCAAGAGUAAGGUUUCUUUUUUAUCACCUUAUUUUCCCUAUUGUCAAGUUCGUUUAGAAGCAACGGAAAUCAUUUGUCCCAUAUUGAUUCACAAACAAAUGCUUUGAGAUUAUUUGUUAAGGAUCAAUGAUGAAUUUUUAUACGAUGUAAGUAGUAUCAUGCAAACACUACACUGAAAUAAGAACAACAAAAAUUUAAGGUGACCUACUUAAGAACAAUUUAACCUUUUUGAGGGUUUUCUUUUUUUUCUUUUCUUGCAAACAAGAAGUACAACUGAAAUUUCCUUUCUUGCAAACAAGAAGCAUACAACUGAAAUCCCAAUAUAUAACUAAAACACCAUAGGGUAAGGAUGGGCAUUGUUCUCUUGAACAAAAAGCACAAGCAAUCCUCCAAGAAAGAAAAUCCUCUAGGAUCAUAGUAAAUAAAUCUGUGUUAACAAUGCUUCCUAGACGUUUAUUGGAAAAUAAACAUCCACAAGUACCAAAUACAACUGAAAUCCCAAUAUACAACUAAAACACCAUCGAACAAGGACUACUAUAACACCAAAAAAUAAAAUAAAUAAAAUAACGGAAGAAAGCUCAUGGAGGUAAAAACUCCUAAAAAAACACCUUGAAAAGAGAAGCACUACACUUUGCUGACCAGUCUGUUGGUUGGCCAAGUGAAGGAUCCACCAAACUAGAUUUGGAGAUGGAAAAUUUUAGGUAAUUAGUCAUCUCACUUUUGAGGGUCUCAUAAGACACCAAGAAGAUAACUAAACCAAGUCACCUCCCACUAGGAAGUGAUUAAAACCUAUAGGAAAAGCUAAGGUGAAAUCUUUAAGUAAUGCCAACUCCAUAGCCAAUCUCUCCUCAAUGGGCUUAGAAAAAGAUUUACCCACCUCUCCUUAAUGAUCCUGGAAGACUCUGCCAAUACCCAUUUACCUUGGGUUUCCCAAAAUGACUCUAAGGGUUCUUUUAUUUGCCUUUUACAUCACUUUUCAAUCUAACAACAAGUUCAAUCAAGACCAAGGGAAGGCAAUAGAAAUUUGAGGCAACUAACUUGGGGAUAAGUCAAUCAAUUUCUUUUCUCACUUUUUCAAUGUGCAACACUAACCAAGAGAAAGGUGAUGUCACUAGAAAUUUGAAGUUACCAACUUGGAAAUAAAUUAACCAACAGAGGUGUGGCUGAUAGGAAUUUGAGGCAAUCAAUUUGCAUAUUCUUAUGAAGUUUUAUUUCUUUUGCUCUUACACUACUCUAUUUCUUUCCUAUUUCUUUGCCACGUCAAAAUAUAUGAAUUUCAUCUCCUCUUAGACCAAUCUUAAAAAGAGUAUAGGAACCUUUACUUAUUAAUUGACUCCUUUCCAUUGUAUACCUUCUGCCACGUCUAAAUACCCUCUUCUCUUACAAAAAAGGUCAACUGAGACCAUGGCAAGGCUACAAGAAACUUAAAGGAGACUAAGUUGGAAACAUUUUUUGUUCCUUCAAAAUAUUUGUCACUUCCCUCUUUUGUUACCUCUAAUGUCCUCUUCUGUGAAAUUGAUCCAGAAUCAAGUUAACCAAAGCCGAGCAAGGCUUAUAGAAACUUGAGGAUUUGAAUCCAGGAAUGAGUUGAUCAAGACUGAGGCUAAGCUAAUAGAAAUUUUGUGGUUACUGAGGCCAGAAAAUUCCUAAGAACGAACAUUUCUUAUUCCUAUGCUGCAUCAGAACGCCUCUACUUCACUCUAUUCCUUUGCUGCUUAUUUCCUUUUCCACUAUGACUCAGAAUAUAGAAUAUCCCCCUCUUCUUUCAAUUUCUUUUCAUCCUUUUCUUUUCUCUGUUUUUUGCGGCUUCCCUCCUCUUCUGCUACUUCAGAAUAUUCUUUUAUCCAUUCUGUUUGGUUGCUGCAUUUCUUUUUAGCUACAUAGGGAAUAUCUUCUUCGUCUUCUCUGCUCAAUUUCUUUGUUGCUUAUUUUUUCUCUUCGGCGACUCCUUAUACACAGCCACAAAAUUAUACCAAGAAAAUCACCAAAAAUGCAACAGAAUACAGAGCAUCCUCUUCCUCUGCUAAGAAUAAAAAAAUAAAAAAUCUUCCCCUUGUCUAUUUGGCGAAAUCCUUCCUCUCUGCUACUCUCCAUCUAUAAACAGCCAUAUAAUUGUACUAUCAGAAACACAUACAAUAAGAAAAUAACUUCUUCCUCUUCUUGGUUCAUUUCUUUGCUGCUUCCCUACUGUUCUUCACCAACAUUCA